AUACGUAUGUCGCAAGCGUUAUCCGGAAUUAUUGGGCGUAAAGCGAGUCUAGGCGGCUUGUUAAGUCAGAUGUGAAAAUGCGGGGCUCAACUCCGUAUUGCGUUUGAAACUGGCAGGCUAGAGUACUGGAGAGGUGGGCGGAACUACAAGUGUAGAGGUGAAAUUCGUAGAUAUUUGUAGGAAUGCCGAUAGUGAAGACAGCUCACUGGACAGAUACUGACGCUAAAGCUCGAAAGCGUGGGGAGCAAACAGGAUUAGAAACCCGAGUAGUCC
rnacentral:rRNA from 1 species